rnacentral:rRNA from 1 species
UACGAAGGGGGCGAGCGUUGUUCGGAUUUACGGGGCGGAAAGGGCGCGCAGGCGGCUUAUUUUGUCAGGCGUGAAAGCCCCGGGCUUAACCUGGGAACUGCGUUUGAUACGGAUGGGCUAGAGUUCGGGAGAGGAGAGUGGAAUUCCCAGUGUAGAGGUGAAAUUCGUAGAUAUUGGGAAGAACACCGGUGGCGAAGGCGGCUCUCUGGACCGAGACUGACGCUGAGGCGCGAAAGCGUGGGGAGCAAACAGG